CACUGAGGAUAAUGGAAACUCGCCUAUGUUACAUUAUAGCUUUCUACAUACAUGUUUAUUGUUUCAACUACUGGCUAUGAUGCUGCAUUUUCUUGUAUUAUACUACGUUUUAAUUUCUUUCAGCACCCCUCCUCUUGCUAAAAGAAGAGGUGGUCUAAAUAAAAUCUGUGGUCUUUCUCCUCAACUCUAGGCUAUUGUCGCAAGCCAGACAUGCCAAAAAAUCAGCAACUAUGGGCCUACAUCAGUAAGAACUAUCUCCAAGAUCCAAAUUACAAGAGCAAGAUCGAUGAAUUAUGACUGGUCUGCGAGACACUGUACUGACAUGUUAAAGAUGAACAAGCUAUUGGCUGAGCAUAUCCUUCCACUGGAUGAGAAAAGUAUGUUUUUGCUUCAUCAUAAAGUGUUUUUUUGUAAGGCUGUGAAAACUUGGAUUAGAUAUUUCACUUGGAUUAGAUAAUAUAUAUCUUAGUUGAUGUUUCAGAGGACAUGGGUCCAGAUGCGCAAAGGUUGAAGUCUAGAGAUGUUGGCUCUGCAACUCAACCUGAUUUUUCAGAGUACAUGGGUUCAUUAGAUUUUCUGUGAAAUUUGUAUUUGUACUUUAGCAUCUGGGUAAAAUAGAUAUAUAUGCAUCACAUGUUAGGACAUGAUACAAAUUUAACCCAAAAAAAAAAUCUAAUGGAAUCUGGAAUUGGGGCGUCAUAGUGAAUUGGGAAUGAAACGUUAGGUAAUCAAAAUGCAAAAGAGAUAUUUUGGGGUAUCAAACCAAUGUUUGGAGUAUCAAUGCGUUAAAAUGAUACAUUUUGUAGGGGUGCAAACUGUUUGGAUACGUCUAGGAGAUGUACUUAUUAUAUCCGUAUUCGCUUACCACUUACAUAUACGAAUUUGCAGGAAAGCUCAUCCAUAUCUGCUAAAAUCUGAUACAGAUACAGAUAUAUUUGCAGGAAAACAUGAUCCGGUACACAUUCAGUAUUUAGCUCCUAUAAAGUUCGAGAUACCGCUUGCUGUGAAGGAGAAAAUUAUUUUAUUAGUAAACGUCAGACUUGAUUGCAUCAAAAGGUUACCGCUAGUGGGCCAGAAGUAAAAUAGUAUACCGUUUGCUGUUACCAUCUGUUUUGAUUUUAGCGGUUACUAGCGCGAACUUUAUUUUCCCUCUAUUUAUAGUCUUAUAUCAACUUCAUGUUUUCAUAGAGCAUGGGGAGGCGCUCCAGAUUCUAUACUAAGAAGUUGGGCAAAAGUAUGAACCUCAUUGUGAUUAUUUCCUUGACGAGUUCAACACUAAAAAUGGAGGUCGGCGAACUGCUACUGUUCUCAUGUGCCUGUGGAUGCCCAGUGAUUAGAGGGAGUAAGUGAUCAUCUAUGAAAUGGAUGCAGGUCAAUGAAUAUUAAGUUUGAAGUAUCAACUCGAAGAUUUUUGCUGGAUGGAGUGGCUGCAGCCCAGGAGAUUAUUUCUGUUUGUUUUCAGAAUAAAAAAGGAGGAAUUUUAUUAAAACUAGAUUUCAUGAAAGCUUAUGAUAUGUUGGAUUGGGAUUUUAUUAUAGAGGUGUUGAAGGCAAAAAAGUUUGGUGUUAAAUGGAUAAAAUGGAUCAAUUUGUGUUUAAAUGGAGGUAUGUCUGCCAUUAAUGUUAAUGGUAAGCUUGGGAGGUGGAUUAUGUCCAAAAGAGGUGUUCGUCAACGAGAUCCUCUGUCACCCCUUCUUUUUGUCCUAGCAGCUGAUUCUUUCAUCAGAAUGUUGAAUCUUGCAGUUGAUUCUUAAC